rnacentral:lncRNA from 1 species
AGGAAAAAGUUCAGUUUAGGAUUUAAAACCCGAAUGCUGACUGGACGAAAAAAGUUCAGUUUAGGGUUUAAAGCCCUAAUGCUAACUAAAGGAAAAGUUAAAUUUAGGGUUUAAAACCCUAAUGCUGACUGAAAGGAAAAAGUUCAGUUUAGGGUUUAAAACCCUAAUGCUGACUGAAAGGAAAAGUUCAGUUUAGGUUUUAAAACCCUAAAGCUGACCGGCUGGAAAAGUUCAGUUUAGGGUUUAAAACCCUAAUGCUGACUAAAAGGAAAAAUUCAGUUUAGGGUUUAAAACCCUAAUGCUGACUAAAUGGAAAAAGUUCAGUUUGGGGUUUAAAACCCUACUGCUGACUGAAAGGAAAAA